GCGUGGCCACGAGAGCCGUUGCACACACCCACACUCUAUUCUGGUCUGCCCGGACAAGUGGGGACGAAAGUCCGUGAACGUCAGGUUAGUCAGUGUUUGUACAGAAUAUUAACGUCAACGCUCCGCCAACAUGUAGAGAAGAAACAUUUUCAUCGUUUUGGUGGUCGUUUAACGACAUAUUGCGCGUAAACAGAGCUAAUUCAGCAGCAGUUCACCACCCUUUCUGUCCCUCUGCCUCUUAAUCAGCAACACCUGCAGCCUCACAGCAGGAGUCUGUUCCUCUUUCUGGUUUUCUUCUCUACUCAUGUUUAGGAGUUUUAGAACUUUUCUGCGUGUUUUUACAUCCAGGAUCCUGACAUCUUCAACUUCCCGAUAAGCUACCCGUCAUCUUACUCCAGAGUCACUGAAGGUUUACAAGAGCCUGGAGGGAAACAAACAUUCAACUCUGGAGUCUACCGACUAAACAUAGUGUUGUUGUCACUGGAUGGGUAAGUGUUGCAUGAGCACAACAUUAGCAUUAGUAACAGGCAGUGUAAUGUUAAUAAUUGCUAUGUUAAGGUUGCUGUGCAGACUUGUAUGCCAGUUAGACUGAGUCCAUUAUUUGCCCAGAAUUAACCCUUUGCUUGUGUUUGUUCCCAUCACUGUCUUCUUCUACUUGCUGUGCGCACGUUUCAUAGCUGUGAUUCACCUUCUUUCUGGAUUGGGGGGAUCCAGUGAAAUGCCUGUUUCUGACUGUUUUAGCAUUCCGGAGCACAAAAGCUAUCUAAAAUCUUCAGUUUUACUAUGACAAGCAAAGAGACAGGUUUUCUUAGAUAUUGCAUGAUUUAUGUGCCGUCUGCUUUGUAAGUCAAUGGAAGGAGCUGGGUUUUUCCCUGCCAGGGGGCGUGUCAGAGGCGUUACUUUGGUUGUGUGACGUCAAUGUAUAGAGCUCUGUGGAAUCAUAUUUUUAGACAUGUCUAAAAAAUCGUGAACAGAACAGACAAAUGUUUUUGUUCUCUACUCCAUAAUUCCUUAUUCCACAGAAUGUGCAAACUCUGUAUUUGCUUUACAGGGUCUUUAAAUGCGGAAAUAGUGAACCAUCUAUCCAUCCAUCCAACCACUUCGAGGGUCGUGGGGUAAGCUGGAGCCAAUCCCAACUGACACUGGGUGAGAGGAAGCGUACAUCCUGAACAGGUCACCAGCCUAUCACAGUGAUGUAAAGUGUUUGAAGAGACAAGAGCU